rnacentral:lncRNA from 1 species
CACGUAAACGCUUUUCUUCCUGCAAUCAAUCAACCAUUUUCGAUCACAGAUUGAUCUGUUCUAUACAUAUAUAAAAACCCACUUGCUGGUGAUCAAAUAAUACAGAAAUAAACAUCGCACAUAUGGAACUGAGCUUGAAAUAUUCAUCAAUGGCUAUGGGGCUGUUAUUAGGGUUUGUUUUGAUUUGCAGUGUGUUGAUGCAUGUUGAGGGGCAGCAAAUUGGGCAGUGCCUCGUCUCCUGUGGGCAGAAAGUGGUGAGUUGUUCAAUAGACUGCGGAACCAGAGGAGGGGCAGCUGUGCCUUGCUAUCAGCAGUGUGGCAAUGAAAGCAUUGGCUGUGUAACUUCUUGCUUUGGAGCAACCUUUAUGCCAAAUGACAAGCGUGUUAUUUGAUUUGUUUAGGUUUUGUACUAUGAAAUUGUAGCUCCAUGUGUUUGUAAUUGUUAUAUCCAAUGUGUUGUCACAAUAAAAAUAAAAUGGUGCGCGAGUUCUUUUCCAAACGAUUACGUAGAAAAAUGUCUUGUUAGAAAUUCUCAAGAAAGAGAAUCGUCUUGUUUUCGUAUUCUUGAUUUAUUAAUGGGUGAGUAAGUCUCG